rnacentral:lncRNA from 1 species
UGCAAACUCAUUAACUUACCUGGCUGAUCAGUAGUGGCCUUAGGAGAAAGAACCAAUAGUUUUCGACGAAUCGACAACUUUCUUCCAGCAAAACUAAUCAACUGAACCUUUGAAGAUGGAGAAAAACUUGGUUUUUUCCUAAAAGGUGCAUGAAAAAGGUGAGUGUUUGUUGUUACAAUGAGCCAAAAUUUGGUGGCCAUUUGUUGCGGCGACUGCGAUGGUAGUGGUGGUAACUUGUAUAAAGUUGAACAAGUAGACAUACACGUUCUACAUGGCAAUUCACGAGAAAUGUAUUCAACUUACCCCUACUUUGGAGGUAGAGAGACUGUUUCUAAUAGACACUCCGCUCAAGGAAAAAAAAAAGUCCAAAGCAGUUCAAGAAAAGAAAUGCCGGAAAUGAAGAAAUCAUCACAAAAUACUAUAGAAAACAUGACAAAUCAUCCUGAAUAGUAAUCACACCAAGAAGAUAACACGAUAAUCGAAUUACAAGAAACAACAUAUAUCAACCAAACUCAAAGAACAAGUAACUACAAAAGUAAUACUAAGACUAAUAGUAUCGAAGUAUAAGCGAGACAACACUCGUACUGGAUCACCAAACUUCGAUCAAAGAAUUAAACAGAACAAUAUGAAGUAAAAGGGCAGCCUGGUGCACUAAAACUACCGCUAUGCGUGGUAUCCGGGAAGGGCCCCACCACAAGGGUGUAUCGUACGCAGCCUUACCUUGCAUUUCUGCUAGAGGCUGUUUCCAAGGCUUCCGUGACCUCCUGGUCACAUGGCAGCAACUUUACCAGAACAAUAUGGAGUGCUUGAUCAAAAGUGAACUCAGUUAUUAUUGUAUAUCAGUAAGCUACCUGGCCGAUCAGUAGUGGCCUUAGGAGAAAGAACCAAUAGUUCUCGACGAAUCGAUAACUUUCUUCCAGCAAAACCAAUCAACUGAACCUUUGAAGAUGGAGAAAAACUUGGUUUUUUCCUAAAAGGUGCAUGAAAAAGGUGUGUGUUUGUUGUUACAGUGAGCCCAAAUUUGGUGGCCAUUUAUCGCGGCGACUGCGGCGGUGGUGAUGAUGAUGAUGGUGGUAGAGGGAGUGAUCAAGAGGGAGCAAAAGGGGUUGUAGAAAUGAACAAUGCAUUUGUGAAAAAAAUCUGAAAAUUUGUUAGUUUGAUGAGGUUUUGUUAAAGUGAUCAAGAUAAGGUUAUGUGAUGAAUGUGUGGAGGAUAUUGAAAACUUAAAAAAAAAAAAAAUCUGUUUUCUUGGAACCCCACCUAGAAUUUGUUGUGUUUGAUCCGAAUUUUGUUAGUUCGGCCCGGAAAGCUUUACGGUGCGACUCGUUUGUGAUUUUUAAUGGCUGGUAGAGGGAGUGAUCAAGAGGGAGCAAAAGGGGUUGUAGAAAUGAACAAUGCAUUUGUGAAAAAAAUCUGAAAAUUUGUUAGUUUGAUGAGGUUUUGUUAAAGUGAUCAAGAUAAGGUUAUGUGAUGAAUGUGUGGAGGAUAUUGAAAACUUAAAAAAAAAAAUUCUGUUUUCUUGGAACCCCACCUAGAAUUUGUUGUGUGUGUUACAGUUUGUGAUCUGAAUUUUGU